GUAGAGGGCAGCAAGCUGGUCGUGAGGAGUUGCAAUUUGUCCACAUGAUAAUAAUCAUCAUAUUGCACUCGUCCCGGCCUGCCUGCUUGCCCUCAAUCUCA